AAAGCUCCAGGCUGAACCAGGAUGUCUGAAGCCAUUGCUAGCUCAGGGGAGGGCGGGGAGCAACUGCAGCUAUCAAGAGCCAGUGCCAGGACCAGGUGUGGAUGCCGUGUCUUCACAGGCUCCCUGACUAGCCGGAGACCAUAAAUAAAAAGAUUCCCCUUUGGCAGGAACACAGGUGAAUCCUGGUGUGGCCAACAGUGAAAGCAAAACGCCUGAGGGAAAAGCCUGGCGCCUCUGCUAACUCUACAAGGUUACUCCACUUCUCUCUCCAAUCCUAACCACCACUGAGAAGCCACCAGUGCCAGGUGAGCCACGGUGUCAAAGCUGACAUUAACGGCUGUUCUCUGAAGAAGCCGCUGCCUCUGUUUAGAAGCUGUGCCCACGACAGCUGCAAUGAACUGUGGGGUGGAUAGAGAGUGCAAGGUUCUAAUGCCUGGGAAUUACAGUGGUACCAGUUCCACAGACUGAACUGAAGUAGCACCUUCCUUCACAGCUACCCUGGCACACAGUGGGGACCUGCUUGCUUGCAUUAGGGAACUCAGCUGAUUCAGACCUGCAGACUAAGACAUGCCCCGCAGACCAAAGGCCAAAACCAAAGUAAAU
ensembl:processed_transcript 5730435O14Rik uncharacterized LOC115064695